rnacentral:rRNA from 1 species
UAGGGAAUCUUCGGCAAUGGACGAAAGUCUGACCGAGCAACGCCGCGUGAGUGAAGAAGGUUUUCGGAUCGUAAAACUCUGUUGGUAGAGAAGAAAGUUGGUGAGAGUGGAAAGCUCAUCAAGUGACGGUAACUACCCAGAAAGGGACGGCUAACUACGUGCCAGCAGCCGCGGUAAUACGUAGGUCCCGAGCGUUGUCCGGAUUUAUUGGGCGUAAAGCGAGCGCAGGUGGUUUAUUAGGUCUGGUGUAAAAGGCAGUGGCUCAACCAUUGUAUGCAUUGGAAACUUGUAGACUUGAGUGCAGGAGAGGAGAGUGGAAUUCCAUGUGUAGCGGUGAAAUGCGUAGAUAUAUGGAGGAACACCGGUGGCGAAAGCUGCUCUCUGGCCUGUAACUGACACUGAGGCUCGAAAGCGUGGGGAGCAAACA